CCUUCUACGGAUAGCUACAAAAACCCCCUCUCUCUCUCUCCCUCUCUUCUCCCAUCCAUCCCUCUCUGCAAAUACCAUCUCCCUCUCCAAACCCUAGAUUUACAACCCCCAAGAUCUGCAUCUCUACACCACCGAUCUUCCAAAUGCCGAAUAAAUCCACUCAAAAUCAGAAGCGAGUUCAUGGAGUACUUUUGGCACUGAUGAUCUAAACAAUGUGGUCCAUCUCAUGGAAAGCUCAGAUUCUUGUACAAAUUGUGUUAUGUUGGUUGAAUUGAGGAGGUUUGUAAUUCAGUUCCCUUUUGCAUCCAAACGCUGCGGGGUAUUUGUAUUUUGUACAUGCUUUUUUCUUUUUCCUCCCCAAGUUCAACACUUGAAUAGAAGGCUGAUGAAACACGCUGAUGAACACUUUCGGACACAAAAUGAAGCAACCGAUGUGAUAACUUGGGAGAGAACAUUUCAAUCAUGACAUUAUAGUAAGAAACUAUUCCUGAGGCCCAUCUUUCUGGACCCCAUGAUUGGAACGCCCCCACAAAAAUCUUGGAGAUUCGAAGAUACUAGCCUCGAACUACAAAUUUGAGGACCGGAGGGCGGCUGGUAAAACAUAGUGAACCGUUCAGGAAAUGGCUCAUUUAUGGUACUUGUGCUUGCUAAUCAUGUGGAUGUUAAGAUAGUAGAGGAGUUCUAAUCUGCAGAUGGCUGUAAAAAAUAAAUAAAAAAUCUGUGCAGCUCACAACCUCAUGUGGUAAGUGUCUGGUGAUCAGGAAUGUUUGUUAUAGUGGGUCACACAGUGCGAACAGACCAUAACCCAGAAAUCAAGGGGACCAGACUGGUGGCCAUCAGAUCAGAGGCCUGAGGAAGGAACAGUUGGAGAAAUGGACCGCAUGCAACAAUCAAAUCCCUUCCCCCGCCCACCCCCACCC